AUGCGUGGUAUCAAGAGGUGCAUUGAGGCGCUCCUGCAGCCUCCUCCCGGCACGGGACUCCUCACAACCCCCAGCCUCAGCUUCCCUGACAGGGCAGGGGCUCACUCUUCUCCACUCCGGGCCAGGAACGCAGCCUGCUUGCCUUUUGUCCAAUUGGGUGCUCUUUCUUUGCGACUGAUACAAAGUGGGAACAAACUCCGCUUCCGGUGAUGCCCGGGCCCCAGGAGGCUGGGGGAGAAGUGCACGCUGCCCAGCCUUCAACCUGAACUGCCCCCAGCACUUCCGAGCCCCGACCCCUGCAGCUGUGAGGGCCCAGGGGCUGCUGGCUGCCAGGACCACCGCAUUGCAGAGGUCUCCCUUGCAGCAAGAGAUCUGGGAGUCCACAACGGCACUUAACCUGCCCUCUGCCCUGGCACCCCAGGGACUCACUGCCAAAGACGCUCACUUUCUGGGAGACACAGACCCCAUCCAGGAAGGGGCACGAGACCACGCUGCAGGAGGCCCCUUCCAAGACCGCCAAGCAUCUGUAGCAGCGCAGACCCUGAGCUGGGAGAGAGGGCAAGAAAACACACCCCUGGUGGAGAUUUAAGAUGCUAAUGACACAUGCGACGUAUGAGCAAGCAGGUGCAGCUACUGCACGUGUGCACCCAGAGGACCCCCCCAGAACAUGCUUCCUAGCAACACCUCUGCCCACCCGCUGUGAGUAAUCAUGGAAGACUCCCAUGGAGGAGCCUCCCUGGUGCCAGUCUCUGCUGUCUCGCCCUUACAAGCAGCCGGCCCUGAAUCCUCUCUCUCAGGGCGUCCUAUCUCUUCUGCAUCAAACUUUCAAAAUGUUCUUUCUCCUUUGCAAUACAUUGCUCUGUGCUGCA
rnacentral:lncRNA from 1 species